rnacentral:rRNA from 1 species
UACGUAGGGACCGAGCGUUGUCCGGAAUCAUUGGGCGUAAAGAGCGUGUAGGCGGCCAACUAAGUCCUGCGUGAAAUCUCGGGGCUCAACCCCGAGCGGUCGUGGGAAACUGGUUGGCUAGAGUGCGGGAGAGGAGAGUGGAAUUCCUGGUGUAGCGGUGAAAUGCGCAGAUAUCAGGAGGAACACCGGUGGCGAAGGCGCUCAUCUGGCCCAAUACUGACGCUGAGGCGCGAAAGCUAGGGGAGCAAACGGG